ensembl:miRNA
ACUGGGAAGAGGAGCUGAGGGGCAUUGUGGAGAGGGUCUCACAUUGUCCCUCUCCCUUCCCAG